GAUGAACGCUGGCGGCGUGCCUAAUACAUGCAAGUCGAGCGAACAGACGAGGAGCUUGCUCCUUUGACGUUAGCGGCGGACGGGUGAGUAACACGUGGGUAACCUACCUAUAAGACUGGGAUAACUUCGGGAAACCGGAGCUAAUACCGGAUAAUAUUUCGAACCGCAUGGUUCGAUAGUGAAAGAUGGCUUUGCUAUCACUUAUAGAUGGACCUGCGCCGUAUUAGCUAGUUGGUAAGGUAACGGCUUACAAAGGCAACGAUACGUAGCCGACCUGAGAGGGUGAUCGGCCACACUGGAACUGAGCCACGGUCCAGACUCCUACGGGAGGCAGCAGUAGGGAAUCUUCCGCAAUGGGCGAAAGCCUGACGGAGCAACGCCGCGUGAGUGAUGAAGGUCUUCGGAUCGUAAAACUCUGUUAUUAGGGAAGAACAAACGUGUAAGUAACUGUGCACGUCUUGACGGUACCUAAUCAGAAAGCCACGGCUAACUACGUG
rnacentral:rRNA from 1 species